ensembl:lncRNA
GUGCGCGACCCCCCGCGCGCAUAUUUUAUGCUAAUGAGCAGGUGCGCCGGGCUCUUGAGGCGCGCGCCGGGGGCCGGAGGACCCGGAUGGAGCCGCGGGGGAGCAGCGCGAGGCUUUUGACCGGGUGAUGCUGCGCGGACCCCAGUGAGGCUCGGAUGGAUCCCCGCGAGAGGCGAGGCCGCAGGAGGCCGUGUGCCGCCUGGUGCCUGGGCGCUGUCCUGCUCUACCAGGCGCAUCUGUCCUGGAGUGUUGACAGACUGAACAGUUCUGCAUCUGCAUUUAAUAACGGGAGCAGCAGGAUAAAGCUGCAGAAAUGGGACACCGCUUCCCAGGGAGGGCAGGACCUCCAGACAGAAGCUGUUGCUUUAGAAACCAACACGUCUCCUUCCAGUCAUUCUUCAGUUAGCCAGACCGUCGCGUCCAACCUGACGUCCUCCAGCUCGCAGAGGACAGCCCCCUCCUCAUGGACUGUCAGCUCCGACCAAUCAGCUGCAACACCGCCACCAUCUAGUCAAACAGGAUCCAGAACCGUGUCAACCAGAACUGUGUCAACCAGCCAAUCACCAGGCAGCACAACACAGAACAGCCAAUCACCAGGCGGCACUACACAAACAAGCCAAACACCAACCAGCCAAUCACCAGGCAGCACUACACAAACCAGCCAAUCACCAGGCAGCACUACACAAACCAGCCAAUCACCAGGCAGCACAACACAAACCAGCGAAACACCAGGCGGCACAACACAAACCAGCCUAACACCAACCAGCCAAUCACCAGGCAGCACUACACAAACCAGCCAAUCACCAGGCAGUACAUCAUCAACCAGCCAAUCACCAGGCAGCACAACACCAACCAGCCAAUUGCCAGGCAGCACUACACAAACCAGCCAAUCACCAGGCAGUACAUCACCAACCAGCCAAUCACCAGGCAGCACAACACCAACCAGCCAAUUGCCAGGCAGCACUACACAAACCAGCCAAUCACCAGGCAGCACAACACAAACCAGCCAAUCACCAGGCAGCACAACACAGACCAGCCAAUCACCAACAGAGAAGGCAGCCGACAAAGAAGGCAGCCAAUUACAGACUGAGAUCCCACCACCUAGCCAAUCACAGAAGAAGAAGAUAGCGCCGAUCCACUCCCCAAUCAGCUCACCAGAAUCCAGCCAAUCACCAACCAACACAGUGUCAGCAAGCCACGUACCAGCAACAAACCCAAAACCUACCCAAUCAUCAUCUCGCCAGACACCAUUAAACCGAUCAACACUCACCUCAACAUCCAACCAAUCAGCAACCAGUUUAACACCAGCUAAUCAAUCCACAACCAACUUGGAAACAAACCACCACAACUCAUCUGGCUUCACAUCCCAAUCACUGUCAACGCCCUCCAACCAAUCACAGACCAGCUCAGUGCCGUCCAACCAAUCAUCCUUGGGUUCAGCGGUCAGCGGAGACGGACGUCUGGUUAACGGUUCACUGCUCGCCGGGCAGGCAAAGGAAGCCCCGAGGUCAUCGAUUCGUAGGACCCAAG